rnacentral:rRNA from 1 species
UGAUACUAAGCCAUGCGAGUCAUUGUAGCAAUACAAGGCAUACGGCUCAGUAACGCGUAGUCAACCCAACCUAUGGACGGGAAUAACCUCGGGAAACUGAGAAUAAUGCCCGAUAGAACAUUAUGCCUGGAAUGGUUUAUGUUCCAAAUGAUUUAUCGCCGUAGGAUGGGACUGCGGCCUAUCAGUUUGUUGGUGAGGUAAUGGCCCACCAAGACUAUUACAGGUACGGGCUCUGAGAGGAGUAGCCCGGAGAUGGGUACUGAGACACGGACCCAGGCCCUAUGGGGCGCAGCAGGCGAGAAAACUUUGCAAUGUGCGAAAGCACGACAAGGUUAAUCCGAGUGGUUUCUGCUAAAGGAACCUUUUGUCAGUCCUAGAAACACUGAUGAAUAAGGGGUGGGCAAGUUCUGGUGUCAGCCGCCGCGGUAAAACCAGCACCUCAAGUGGUCAGGAUGAUUAUUGGGCCUAAAGCAUCCGUAGCCGGCUCUGUAAGUUUUCGGUUAAAUCUGUACGCUCAACGUACAGGCUGCCGGGAAUACUGCAAAGCUAGGGAGUGGGAGAGGUAGACGGUACUCGGUAGGAAGGGGUAAAAUCCUUUGAUCUAUUGAUGACCACCUGUGGCGAAGGCGGUCUACCAGAACACGUCCGACGGUGAGGGAUGAAAGCUGGGGGAGCAAACCGGAUUAGAUACCCGGGUAGUCCCAGCUGUAAACCAUGCAAACUCAGUGAUGCAUUGGCUUGUGGCCAAUGCAGUGCUGCAGGGAAGCCGUUAAGUUUGCCGCCUGGGAAGUACGUACGCAAGUAUGAAACUUAAAGGAAUUGGCGGGGGAGCACCACAAGGGGUGAAGCCUGCGGUUCAAUUGG